rnacentral:rRNA from 1 species
CCUACGGGUGGCAGCAGUGGGGAAUAUUGCACAAUGGGGGAAACCCUGAUGCAGCGACGCCGCGUGAGUGAGGAAGUAUUUCGGUAUGUAAAGCUCUAUCAGCAGGGAAGAAAAUGACGGUACCUGACUAAGAAGCCCCGGCUAACUACGUGCCAGCAGCCGCAGUACUACGUAGGGGGCAAGCGUUAUCCGGAUUUACUGGGGUUAAAGGGAGCGUAGGCGGCUAGUCAAGUCAGAAGGGAAAGCCCAGGGCUUCACCUUGGGACUGCUUUUGAAACUGAGUAGCUAGAGUGUAGGAGAGGUAAGCGGAAUGCCUGGUGUAGCGGUGAAAUGCGUAGAUAUUAGGAGGAACACCAGUUGCGAAGGCGGCUUACUGGACUAUAACUGACGUUGAGGCUCGAAAGCGUGGGUAGCAAACAGGAUUAGAUACCCGUGUAGUC